CGCUGGCGGCGUGCCUAAUACAUGCAAGUCGAACGGUCUUUCUAUGGAAGCUUGCUUCCACUGAGAAGAUAGUGGCGAACGGGUGAGUAACACGUGGGUAACCUGCCCAUAAGAGGGGGGAUAACAUCCGGAAACGGGUGCUAAUACCGCAUAGUUUUCUUGAUCGCAUGAUCGGGAAAGGAAAGACGGCCUUUGUGCUGUCGCUUAUGGAUGGACCCGCGGCGUAUUAGUUAGUUGGUGAGGUAACGGCUCACCAAGACGAUGAUACGUAGCCGACCUGAGAGGGUGAUCGGCCACAUUGGGACUGAGACACGGCCCAAACUCCUACGGGAGGCAGCAGUAGGGAAUCUUCCGCAAUGGACGAAAGUCUGACGGAGCAACGCCGCGUGAGUGAAGAAAGGGUUUUCGGAUCGUAAAACUCUGUUGUCAGAGAAGAACAAGUUGGAGAGUAACUGCUCCAGCCUUGACGGUAUCUGACCAGAAAGCCACGGCUAACUACGUGCCAGCCGCCGC
rnacentral:rRNA from 1 species